rnacentral:rRNA from 1 species
CAGCCGCCGCGGUAAUACAGAGGAUGCAAGCGUUAUCCGGAAUGAUUGGGCGUAAAGCGUCUGUAGGUGGCUUUUCAAGUCCGCCGUCAAAUCCCAGGGCUCAACCCUGGACAGGCGGUGGAAACUACCAAGCUGGAGUACGGUAGGGGCAGAGGGAAUUUCCGGUGGAACGGUGAAAUGCGUUGAGAUCGGAAAGAACACCAACGGCGAAAGCACUCCGCUGGGCCGACACUGACACUGAGAGACGAAAGCUAGGGGAGCAAAUGGGAUUAGAUACCCCCGUAGUCCCUGUCUCUUAUAC